UUUCUCACAAUUUCAUUUGGUUUUAAAAGUUUUGCUAUAAUUUGCUCUGAUGAAAGGACAUUCUGCGACAAAAACCAGGAUCAAUUUGUUUGCAUCUUGAAGAUUUCUACUUUCACCAAGUUUAUCUCCAACUCCAGGUAUUUUAUCCCAUUGGCAACUUAAAAUCAACUGCAUCUCUAUACUUUGGUAAUCAUUAGGUAAAAUAGGCUGACUAUAUGCAUAUUUCUUCAUAUUCGAACAACAAUCACAACAAAACUAGCAAUCCAUAUGGUCAUAAAUAGAUUUCUAUGUGUAUAUAAAUGCUACUCUAUACCCGCAGCAUUGUGCGGGCACCGCUGCUAGUUAACUCCCUAAUCCUCCAUUUCCUAAAUCCCACUCCACCCAACCGAAGUCCACCAUCAUCAGCACACCACCAAUCUCUUCCCCAAACUUCAUGUACCUAUCGACACUUCAAGAUCAACUUAAUUAGGCAUUUCAAGAUCAAUUUGAUAUUUAUAUUAUUCUAUUUGUUUGAGAAAUAACUUUUCUUAAUCGCAAGGAAUUAGUGAUCUUGUUAAAAAAUGAUGGAAAGGGUUACACUAAAUUGUUGUUUGUAUAAAGAUUAUGAAUAAAAAGUUGUAAUUUAUCAUUUAAUAUUGCAAUGGUAAUCUUUUUUUUUUUAGCUUGAAUAUUGGGAGCACCCGAUAUUAAUAUCCUGGAUCCGCCACUGCACGUGACAGGGUGAUUGUGACACCUACAACUUUCGCUCCCGCAGAAAGUAGUUGUUGAUCCCUCAUGGCUCAUAUCCAUGGAUUAUUUAGCAGCUUUUUAGCUCACCUUUUGCUCUUAUAGCGUUAGAGUGGAGCAAUGAGUUUCAUACUGGAUGCUUUUAGACAUUAUUCUUUGAUAAUCUUUCUAUUUGGUCUUGCAUCAGUCAUUUCGCAUCAGUCCUUGCCACUAUAUUAUUAUUUCCAGCAUUAGUCGUAUACCUUUCGAUUGCAAACAUGUUAGCCAACACUAAUAAGCCAAUUCUUUAUUGUGGGAUGUCGUUUUGGUAGGAUUACGAUUUUCACGCUCAUUUUUUAACCAUUUGUGUACUCUAAACUGUAUAUUCACAUUAUUUCUAUGCUAACAUAGGAGUGCAGGAGGUUGAAAAUGAGUGAAAAUUAGGAAGUCUUAUAUAGAUUUACAUAACUGCUCCUAGUAAAAGCAAUUACAAGACUCGCUUACUUGAGUUAAACCCCUUGCUUGAGGUUUCCUUCAAAUAGGUAUUCUCGAAGGCUGAUUUGGUGCUCGAAAACAUAUCAAGUCGAAAGUUGAGGCAUCUACAGGACUACGAAGAUUGUGGGUGGAUUUAUCUACAGUACUACAACGAUUUUAAGGUUGACAGUUGGUGCUUAAUGUUAGGAAGCAUCUUUAGUUGGGUCCUUUGAUAAUAACAGAACGAUGCUAGACCACAGUUAGUGUGGCAUGUACAGGACUGCACCAGCUUGUUUACACGUUUAUAUAAUGAUGGGAGCUUGUGUGAACAUGCAUCUCGAAAAGAGGAAACCACGCUGACAGAGUUGCAUCAGCUGGGUUGUAAGAUGGAUGCAUCACUCUCUGUGGACAGAGAAGGACAAAUGGUGGAUGAUGGUGGUAAACGCGGUGGUUGGAUCAUCUUUUUAUUCAUGAUAGGUAUCUCUCUCUCUCUCUCUCCCCCUCUCACCCCCCCCCCCUCCCUCUCUCAUGUACUUCUGUUGUUCACUUAUGACUACAAGGAAGUGAAAAAGAAAACUUCUUUCUUAGCAAAUCAUGUGAUCGUAUUUUAUUUUGAGCAGGAGCUUUAAUGUGCUUGACACUUGCUGCUGGAGGAUGGCAAGCAAAUCUGAUUCUGUAUCUGAUUUAGGAGUUUAAGUGAAGAGCAUUGAUGCUACUCAGGUGUCAAAUGUUGUCAAUGGUUGCACUAGUUUGCUUCCUAUCAUUGGAGCAAUUAUUGCAGACUCUUUCUUUGGCUGUUUCCCUGUCAUCCUGAUCUCUUCUUGUGUCUCUUUUCUGGUAAUAGCCUCGCUCGGUCUCUACUCUAACAAGCACACAUGCUCACAUAGCCAUGAUAGUUCUUUUACUCAUUGAUGUAGGAUAAUACACUUCCAAUUUGCAACAUAAAGUUGAGUUUUUAUAAGAUAAUACACUUUCAGUUCUCUGCUUAAUGGAGCAUUAUUAGCCUAAGAUGAAGCAUCUGAAUCCUUAAAUAGUUGGAGCUAGAGACACGGUAGGAAGGUUUCCAUAUUUCUUCUCAUAUUUGAGCUGUACCUCGGCUACCUGUGGGCAAUACAUAUCGUCACAUUUUUCAAUUUUCCAGUGGAACCAACUUGUCUUUGAAAAUCUUCAAUACACGUCUAGUCUCAUUUUUAAGUUCGUUACAAUUUAUUCUUUGCAGGGAUUGGUCCUAUUCACUUUGACUGCAACUCUUGAUUCCUUGAGGCCCUCUUCAUGUGAGAAUGGAUCUAGCUUGUGCAAAACACCAUCAAAAAUUCAGUUUGCGGUCCUAUAUGCUAGUAUAACUCUGGCAUCAAUUGGACUCAGAGGCACUCGCUUUACUAUAGCAACAAUGGGAGCAAACCAAUUUGACAAGCCUAAAAAUCAAGGGAUUUUCUUUAACUGGUUUUUCUUUGCCAUGUAUACAGCAACUGUUGUAAGUUCUACUGUCGUUUGUGUAUAUUGAGGACAGUGUCAGUUGGGUGUUGGGAUUUGGCUUAUCUGCUCUUGUUAAUCUGAUUGGUCUGGUCAUAUUCGCAUCUGGAACCCAUUUCUAUUGUCGUGAUAAGCCACAAGGUAGUCCAUUCGUGAAAAUAGCUCAUGUUAUUGUUGCUAGUAUCCGGAAAUGGAACGUUAAGCUCUCAUCCAGAAGGGAGGAUUACCACUAACACAAUGAUGGAGAGGCAAAGACGACUCCUGCAGCACCUAAAAGGAGUUUCACUUUCAGGUACCAGAAUUUCCACAUUUUGUGCAUCCUUACAUUGAUUUUACAUUGGUGUCUUCUUUAUUACACGCCGCAUGUUUUUUGAACUGUGAGGCCAAAUACAAAAGAUAACUAGAAGAUAAUAAGUGACGUCGUGUGUAUAAUUCACGGGUGACAUAAGUCAACCCUAUCAAACUUCACCUAACAAGACCUCUAGCUUUUCUGUAUGAUCUAUGAUGGAAAAAAGAAUGUAAAGUUGAGGAUAGAAAAAUCUUGUAUUCAAUUUUGCAAAAUCUUGUAGACAUAAUUUCACUUAUCUUCUGUUGCUGAAGAUUCAUGUAAUGUGAUGAGAUAGUUCUGCUGAGGCCCGCUAUGGAAUCCAUCCUCGGUGAUGGUGGGAUUAUUGAUCAGCGAGUUGGCCACUUUAGGAUGUUCGAAACAGCUUUUGGGGAACACCUGCGUUGUUCACUUUACGUGAGUCAACAAGCAAGGAAGCUUUUCCCCAAUGUUUUCUAUCUGUAAUCAUUAUUUUGUUGAGUUUGGAUGGAUAUAUACACAGUACUAUUUCAGUAGGAAACAGAGUGCCAUGCACAAUCAAGGAAAUAAUGAUGGUAAGCAAUUCUGUUUGCUCUCUUGUUGCAGAUUUCUGAACAAUGCAGCCCUGGAAACAGAAGGGGACUUGAAGCCCGACGGCUCAAUUACAAGGCCAUGGAGGUUGUGCACACUCCAGCAAGUAGAAGAUCUCAAAACUACCAUAAGAAUUUUACCCUGUUGGUCAUCCAACAUAUUUAUAAGUACCCCCAUAGCGAUUCAAAUGAGCUUAACGGUCCUCCAACCUCUGAAGAUGGACCGUCACAUUGGUUCACAUUUUAACAUCCCGGUUAAGCUCACAUUCAAAUGAGCUUAACAUAUUUAGUUUUUUAAAUUUUUAAAAAGAGUAUGAGAUAAUGAUGAUGUGAUCUCCUAUCAAGGGCAUAUUAUUCUUAAUAUUACAUAAUUACCAUUUUGCCCUCUUUAAGUAAAUAUUGUGUAUCAAACGUGAGGGUAAAAUAGGGAAAAUAGGGGUAUGAUUGUUAUUUUCUCAAAAGAUACAAAAUUACUAUUUUGCCCUCCUCAUGUCAACAUUGUAUAUUCAAAAGUGAGGGUAACAUUGGAAGAAAAAGGGCAAAAUUUUGACAAACCCUCUUCUCUUAAUAGAAUAAGAAUAGAUAGAUAUAAUUAUGUUGAGCAAUAAACCAAUCAAAACUCAUUUCACAUAAAGUCCUCCUUGCCGGCUUAAUUUGUUAUCUUGUCAUUAUUUUUUCAUUUCCAGCAUUAUUGGUAUACCGACUAUGGCCAGUAUGUUAGCCAACAAUAAUAAGCCAAUUCUUUAUUGUUGGAUGUUGUUGUCGUAGGGUUACGAUUUUCACGCUCAUUUUUUAAACAUCUGCACUCUAAACUGUAUAUUUUACAUUCUUUUUACUCACAUAGGAGUGCAGGAGGUUGAAAAUGAGUGCCAAAAUUACGGUGUGAUUGAGAUUCACAAACUGCUCCUAGUAACAUGAACUUGCUUACUUGAGUUAAAACCCUUGCUUGAGGUUUCCUUCAAAUAGGUCUUCUUGAAGGCUGAUUUGGUGCUCGAAAACUUAGCUAGUCGAAAGUUGAGGCAUCCCAAUGACUGGCUGGAUUUAUCUACAGUGCUACAACUACUGGAAAGUUGAAAGUUGGUGCUUAAUGGAUUUAUUUACACCAUCUGGGUAUUAACAUGGAUGCAUCACUCCCCAUGGACAGUGAAGGACAAAUGGUGGAUGCUGGUGGUAAACGUGGUGGUUGGAUCAUCUUUUUAUUCAUCAUAGGUUUCUCUCUCUCUCUCUCUCUCUCUCUCUCUCUCUCUCUCUCAUGCACUUCUGUUGUUCACUUAGCAAACCAUAUGAUCUUAUUUUGUUUUGAGCAGGAACUUUAAUGUGCUUGACACUUGCUGCUGGAGGAUGGCAAGCAAAUCUGGUUGUGUAUCUGAUUGAGGAGUUUAACGUGAAGAGCAUUGAUGCUACUCAGGUGUCAAAUGUUGUCAAUGGUUGCACUAGUUUAUUUCCUAUCAUUGGAGCAAUUGUUGCAGACUCUUUCUUUGGCUGUUUCCCUGUCAUCCUGAUCUCGUCUUGUGUCUCUUUUCUGGUAAUAGCCUCGCUCUGUCUCCACUCUAACAAGCACACACGCUCACUUAGCCAUGAUAGUUCUGUUAAUUGUUGAUGUGGGAUUAUACACUUCCAAUUUGCAACGUAAAGUUGAGUUUUAUAGGAUAAUACACUUUCAAUUCUCUGCUUAACGGAACAGUAUUAGCCUACAAUGAAGCAUCUGAAGCAUCUGAAUCAUCUGAAUCCUUAAAUAGUUGGUGCUAGAGACACGGUAGGAAGGUUUCCAUAUUUUCUUCUCGUAUUUGAGCUGUACCUCGGGUACCUGCGGGCAAUACAUAUCGUCGCAUUUUUAAUUUUCCUGUUGAACCAACUUGUUCUCUGAAAAUUUUCAAUACACGUCUAAUCUCAUUUUUAAAUUCAUUACAAUUUAUUCUUCGCAGGGAUUGGUCCUAUUCACUUUGACUGCAACUCUUGAUUCCUUGAGGCCCCCUUCAUGUGAGAAUGGAUCUAGCUUGUGCGAAACACCAUCAAAAGUUCAGUUUUCAGUCCUAUAUGCUAGUAUAACGCUGGGAUCAAUUGGACUGGGAGGCACUCGCUUUACUAUAGCAACAAUGGGAGCAAACCAAUUUGACAAGCCUAAAAAUCAAGGGAUUUUCUUUAACUGGUUUUUCUUUGCCAUGUAUACGGCGACUGUUGUAAGUUCUACUGUCGUUGUGUAUAUUGAGGACAGUGUCAGUUGGGGGUUGGGAUUUGGCCUAUCUGCUCUUGUUAAUUUGAUUGGUCUGGUCGUAUUCUCAUCUGGAAUCCAUUUCUAUCGUCGUGAUAAGCCACAAGGUAGCCCAUUUGUGAAUAUAGCUCGUGUUGUUGUUGCUAGUAUCCGGAAAUGGAAUGUUAAGCUCACAUCUCGAAGGGAGGAUUACCACUACCACAAUGAUGGAGAGGCAAAGACAACUCCCGCAGCACCUAAAAAGAGUUUCAGGUACCAGAAUUUCCACAUGUUCUGUAUCCUCACAUUGAUUUUAUCUUGGUGUCUUCUUUAUUGCACGCCUCUUGUUUUUUGACUGUGAGGCCAAAUAAAAAAGAUAACUAGAAGAUAAUAAGUGACAUCGUGUGUAUAAUUCAAAUGAGCUUUUCCCUGAUGUUUUUGAUCUGUAAUCAUCAUGUUGUUGCAGAUUCCUGAACAGCGCAGCCCUGGAAACAGAAGGGGACUUGAAGCCUGACGGCUCAAUUGCAAGGCCAUGGAGGUUGUGCACACUCCAGCAAGUAGAAGAUCUCAAAACUAUCAUUAGAAUUUUCCCCGUGUGGUCUUCCAGCAUAUUUAUAAGUACCCCAAUAGCGAUUCAAAUGAGCUUAACGGUCCUGCAAGCUCUAAAGAUGGACCGUCACAUUGGAUCACAUUUCAAAGUCCCGGUUGGAUCUGUCCUAGUCGUGGUUACAAUCGCCUCUUGCAUCGCUGUCCCAAUAAUUGAUCGUAUCCUAUAUCCCGGCUGGCAGAAACUGACCCAUAAAUCUCCGACUCCCCUCCAAAGACUAGGAAUUGGUCAUGUCCUAAAUAUCACAGGCAUGGCUGUUUCCGCAUUGGUCGAGUCAAAGCGUCUCAAAACAGCUCACGGUUCCAAGGUGCCAAUGUUGGUCAUGUGGUUAUUCCCACAGUUGGUUUUGGUGGGCAUCGGUGAAGCAUUUCAUUUCCCGGGGGAACUUCAGUUUUGCUAUCAAGAAUUUCCAGCGUCACUUCGUACCACGGCGACUGCAAUGGUUGCGAUGAUAAUAGCCAUUGCUUUUUACUUGAGCACGGCGCUGGUUGAUCUUUUUCGGAGGGUUACAGAAUGGCUGCCGGAUGAUAUAAACGAAGGGAGGAUAGACAAUGUGUACUGGGUUGUGGUUGUGAUAGGUGUGCUCAACUUUGGUUAUUUUUUGUUAUGUGCCAAGUUGUACAAGUAUCAGAAUGUUAAGGGAGUGGAAGAUAGUAGCUCCUCAGUCUCUGAAGGUUAGAAAAUAAUGUCUAUCGAUCUUAUACUAUAAUAUGAACUAUUUAAGUUCUCGAUUUGGACAAUAUUACUUUUGUCUAAAGUAGAGUUCCAAAUUGGCACCAUUCAUGUUGCGGGUCUCAAUUUGGCUUUAAAUGCAAAGCUCUUGGAUUUAAAAGAGAUCUUGUUAGUACACUAAGAGGAAGAUGAGGGUUUGUAACCAGAACGAAGUAGAUUGAAGAGAAAUGUCCUAACCAUGAAGGCAACACACCCUUUCUAAACAAGAAGAUUUAAAAUAAAUUGUUUGUUGCCACUUAUUACUACAGUCUGGUGGUAUCCUUCUUCACUUGUAAGUGAAAUGUCUUAGGUUUGAAUCUCGUGAAUAACUUCAUUGUUCGUCAGAAAUACUAUUUCCAAUGGUAAAAAAAUGCAAUCUUUGAACGUUGGCUAUGACUCACUCGAGCUUCCAUUCCAACCAAAUCUUGAAAUACCCAGCCAUACCAUCUUGUGAUAGUUACUAAUCUUGAUUAUGCUUUCAAUGUGUUUGACAAAAUGCUUCAGAGGCAUCCUCUACCUUCCAUUGUCUACUUCGAAAGAGGAUCUUCUCCGGAUUCACUUUGUGGGAUCCUAGGGAUCUCUACAUCCUAACUGUUUAUUGUACAUCGUGCGGUCAUUUUUUGUCAAGUAUUAUUUGUAAAUCCUAAGUCACGUGCUAUCUAGGCCACGUGAGUUUUUUAAGUAAAACGGUGAGCAUUGAUGUGUUGUAUGACACAUGGCUGGUCCUGAGAUUUUAGAGACCCCAUGCAAGAUCCAAACGGGGGCCCUUACAUGGCUUAAAAUUUUGGUUGUUAUAUUUUCUUUUAUAUUUUUUAUGUGCAUAAAUAUAAUGCACAAGAAAAUAAAUAAAAAUGAAACAUGGUGUGUUGAGUUUGUGUAUCUAUAUGCAUCCCUUAUGUUUUUGGGUUUGAAAUUCCUUGCUUUUUAAUAGAAAAAGCAUGGUAUGGUGGAUAUGUACUUAUCAUAUUACCGUUCAAAUAUUAUACUUAGAACCAUUGUUGCUCUUUAUUAUCAUCCAGAGUUCAUCUCAAUAAAAUUUUAUGUGUUAAACAGAUCAUUGAUAUAUGGAUGACAAAAUGGUUUUAAAAUAAAAUGAAAAUUAGAUGACCAUCAAAUAGUGACUAGAAGAUAAAUGGUUAAAUUCAUAAUUAAAAAUAAAUGUAUCCGUUUGUAUUUAAUAAUACUUAUGUCACAUCCUGGCCCGGGGUCCACCACAUCCCGAGCCUGCUCCACUACCGUAGCAUGAUAUUGUCCGCUUUGGGCCCCGACCACGCCCUCACGGUUUUGUUUUUGGGAACUCACAUGAGAACUUCCCAGUGGGUCACCCAUCAUGAGAAUGCUCUCGUGCGCUACUCGCUUAACUUCGAAGUUCCGAUGAAACUCAAAGCCAGUGAGCUCCCAAAAGGUCUCGUGCCCGGUAGGGAUGAGAGUAUACAUUUAAGGAUCACUCCCCUGGGUGAUGUGAGAUCUUAUAAUCCACCCCCCUUAAGGGGCCCGACGUCCUCGUCGGCACACCACAGCCAGGGUUAGGCUAUGAUACCAAAUUGACACACCCCGACCUGGAAAGGUCGAAGCAUGCUGGCCAUCACCAAGAGGUGACGUAAACAUAAGGGUAAGUGAUGCAAGAAGUGAAUAAAAUUAAAACUAAUUAGAACUAAACAGUGAAAGAGUGCGCAAUUCGUGGGUUUUAAUUUUAUUCACUUCUUGCAUCACUUACCCUUAUGGUUACAUCACCUCCUGGUGAUGGCCAACAUGUUUCGACCUUUCCAGGUCGGGGUGUGUCAACUUAUCUAGCUUUGGAGGAAAAAAAAACCCCAAAAAAAGCCCAAUAUGAAAUAAACACAGCUGAAAAAAUUCAAAAUUGUAAAUACAGGCAGGCAAGGACUCGAACCCGUGCACAGAUAGAUAGCAAAAACAGCACCUGCCAAAUCAGCUAUGAUUGCUUUGUUUAAUAUGCUCACGUUUAUGGUAUAUAUCUUGUAUAUUUCAAAGGUUAUUAAAUUUAAAGGCCCCAAAAAAACAGGGGCCAUGUGCGGUCGCACUCCUUGCACCCCCUCAAGGCUAGCCCUGGUAUGACAACAUCACCUAGAUCACGUGGGAGGCUGAUAGCCUCACCAUUUUUUAUUUAAAAAAAAAAAACAAAAAGACUCGACUUUCUAAGAAAGUCCACCCCACCCAAAUUAACUCCCUAAUCCUCCAUUUCCUAAAUCCCACUCCACCCAACCGAAGUCCACCAUCAUCAGCACAAUACCAAUCUCUUCCCCAAACUUCAUGUACCUAUCGACACUUCAAGAUCAACUUAAUUAGGCAUUUCAAGAUCAAUUUGAUAUUUAUAUUUAUUUUAUUUGUUUGAGAAAUAACUUUUCUUAGUCACAAGGAAUUAGUGAUCUUGUUAAAAAAUGAUGGAAAAUGUUACACUAAAUUGUUGUUUGUAUAAAGAUUAUAAAUAAAAAAUUGUAAUUUAUCAUUUAAUAUUUCAAUGGUAUUUUCAUCUAUUUUUUUUAGCUUGAAUAUUGGGAACACUCGAUAUUAAAAUUCUGGAUCCACCAUUGCACGUGACAGGGUGACUGUGACACCUACAACUUUUGCUCCCUCAGAAUGUAGUUGUUGAUCCCUCAUGGCUCAUAUCCAUGGAUUAUUUAGCAGCUUUUUAGCUCACCUUUUGCUCUUAUAGCGUUAGAGUGGAGCAAUGAGUUUCAUACAACAUGCUUUUAGACAUUAUUCUUUGAUAAUCUUUCUCUUUGGUCUUGCAUCAAUCAUUUCGCUUCAGUCCUUGCCACUAUAUUAUCAUUUCCAGCAUUAUUCAUAUACCUUUCGAUUGCAAACAUGUUAGCCAACACUAAUAAGCCAAUUCUUUAUUGUGGGAUGUCGUUCUGGUAGGAUUACGAUUUUCACACUCAUUUU
rnacentral:lncRNA from 1 species